UCCCCGUAGUUUCUGACAUUUCCUUUGUAGUUUGUGCUGUUUUGAGCUUUGGGUUUGCAGUAGAUCUUGAAAUGAAUGGUGACAUGCUGCUGACUGUGUUGGAGGUAGCCUCAGAAGUUUGUUCAGUGGAGACGGUAGAUGAUUCUGUUGUCGAAGGGCCUGAUGUCUCAUGCUUUGUAACAGUGUGAAUUGAUGACAUUUGCGAGUUGAAUGUAGAAUAUGUGUUUUCUAUAGUGGAAAUAGUUUCACUGGACAAUUCAGUAUUUGGUGAAGUUGAUGGUUCAUUCUUAGUAGAUGAAGGUUCCAUUUCUGUUACAGCGUUUGUUGUCUGAGCAUGAGAUGUUGAUCCAUAUAUUGGUAUUUCUGUAUUGUACGUUGUUAUUUCAGAUAUUGUGGAAGGAGAUAGGCUGGGUAAAUUGGAACUAGACAAAGUUUUAGUUUCUGCUGUUGAUAAAUUACUUUCUGUCGUCCCUGUGAAAACAUUUUCUGUGGAAUGUGGCAUCUCCGUAGUUUCUGACAUUUCCUUUGUAGUUUGUGCUGUUUUGUGCUUUGGGUUUGCAGUAGAUCUUGAAAUGAAUGGUGACAUGCUGCUGACUGUGUUGGAGGUAGCCUCAGAAGUUUGUUCAGUGGAGACGGUAGAUGAUUCUGUUGUCGAAGGGCCUGAUGUCUCAUGCUUUGUAACAGUGUGAAUUGAUGACAUUUGCGAGUUGAAUGUAGAAUAUGUGUUUUCUAUAGUGGAAAUAGUUUCACUGGACAAUUCAGUAUUUGGUGAAGUUGAUGGUUCAUUCUUAGUAGAUGAAGGUUCCAUUUCUGUUACAGCGUUUGUUGUCUGAGCAUGAGAUGUUGAUCCAUAUAUUGGUAUUUCUGUAUUGUACGUUGUUAUUUCAGAUAUUGUGGAAGGAGAUAGGCUGGGUAAAUUGGAACUAGACAAAGUUUUAGUUUCUGCUGUUGAUAAAUUACUUUCUGUCGUCCCUGUGAAAACAUUUUCUGUGGAAUGUGGCAUCUCCGUAGUUUCUGACAUUUCCUUUGUAGUUUGUGCUGUUUUGUGCUUUGGGUUUGCAGUAGAUCUUGAAAUGAAUGGUGACAUGCUGCUGACUGUGUUGGAGGUAGCCUCAGAAGUUUGUUCAGUGGAGACGGUAGAUGAUUCUGUUGUCGAAGGGCCUGAUGUCUCAUGCUUUGUAACAGUGUGAAUUGAUGACAUUUGCGAGUUGAAUGUAGAAUAUGUGUUUUCUAUAGUGGAAAUAGUUUCACUGGACAAUUCAGUAUUUGGUGAAGUUGAUGGUUCAUUCUUAGUAGAUGAAGGUUCCAUUUCUGUUACUGCGUUUGUUGUCUGAGCAUGAGAUGUUGAUGCAUAUAUUGGUUUUUCUGUAUUGUACGUUGUUAUUUCAGAUAUUGUGGAAGGAGAUAGGCUAGGUAAAUUGGAACUAGACAAAGUUUUAGUUUCUGCUGUUGAUAAAUUACUUUCUGUAGUCCCUGUGAAAACAUUUUCUGUGGAAUGUGGCGUCCCCGUAGUUUCUGACGUUUCCUCUGUAGUUUGUGCUGUUUUGUGCUUUGGGUUUGCAGUAGAUCUUGAAAUGAAUGGUGACAUGCUGCUGACUGUGUUGGAGGAAACUUCAGAAGUUUGUUCAGUGGAGACGGUAGAUGAUUCUGUUGUUGAAAGGCCUGAUGUCUCAUGCUUUGUAACAGUGUGAGUUGAUGACAUUUGCGUGUUGAAUGUAGAAUAUGUGUUUUCUAUAGUGGAAAGAGUUUCACUGGACAAUUCAGUAUUUGGUGAAGUUGAUGGUUCAUUCUUAGUAGAAGAAGGUUCCAUUUCUGUUACUGCGUUUGUUGUCUGAGCGUGAGAUGUUGA